rnacentral:sRNA from 1 species
UCGGUUGUGGUGAUUGGAGCGCGAGG